UACGUAGGGCGCAAGCGUUGUCCGGAAUUAUUGGGCGUAAAGAGCUCGUAGGCGGCUUGUCACGUCGGGUGUGAAAGCCCGGGGCUUAACCCCGGGUCUGCAUUCGAUACGGGCUAGCUAGAGUGUGGUAGGGGAGAUCGGAAUUCCUGGUGUAGCGGUGAAAUGCGCAGAUAUCAGGAGGAACACCGGCGGCGAAGGCGGAUCUCUGGGCCAUUACUGACGCUGAGGAGCGAAAGCGUGGGGAGCAAACAGG
rnacentral:rRNA from 1 species